ACCUAUGCUAUAUUUAUAACUUACAUUAAAAAUUUUCCAAAUGCUAGUCCAAUUAAAUUUAUACUCUAAUUAAUAUUUAAAUCUUAAUAUCUUAUCUCCAACAUAUUUAAAUAUUAAUCCUAAUCUAACUAGGAUUCAACUACAAAUCUAACCAAAUCUAACAAUCCCCAUUUUGGUUUGAUUUGUAGUCUUUAGUCGUUGCAUCGAGC
rnacentral:lncRNA from 1 species